rnacentral:lncRNA from 1 species
AUGAAAUCUCUUGUGGCCAUUUUAUUCUUAUUGGCCUUCUUCAUCUCUGCAUCAGAUGUUUGUGCUGAAGGAGUAUUAUAUUGUAAAAAAGAUCAAGAUUGUAAUUCGAAUUGUCAAUAUCCUAAUCUAGGACGGUGUCUUAAGGGAAGAUGUUGGUGUUUUACUCCACCAUCUUCUUCUAAUAAGAGACCUACUCAAAUACUCUAA